GUGACAGGUGAGCAGGGAGAGGUGGGCGGUGGCACGAUGGAGGUUUGUUUCCAAAGAGAAUCGAACGUAAUCCAGACGUAAGUGGUCGCCAGAGUGGUGUCACAGGUCAAAAGAAAAACGCAGGGGAACGAGGAGCUCCAUUAAAACUCAGUGAAAAGUCGAGUGUCUCCCUGUCCUCUUCAACCAAAAAAGACAUAUCGCAAAGACCCCAGUCAUCAGGGGGAAGUAAACACAGAAAAAGACACACACCAGAGGACAAAGUGAAACCUUCUUCCCUCUGCAGACGUACACACAAAUGUCUGCCACUUCCAGAAACACACACACCUCUUCAUCAUGUGCCUGGACCAACAUCAUCAGCCUCAGGUGCAUGUCGAUGUCAACGAACUGACAUACACUCCCCAGCAGGUGUCCCUGUGUGUGAGCGCUGGUUGUGUCUUCCUGAUGAAGUGUGGCUGUCCAUCCUGUCUCUGCUGCCUCACAGUGAUCUGUGCAGAGUGCUGCUGGUCUGCCGCCGCCUGCACACGCUGGCCACCGAUCACACUCUCUGGAAAAAUCUGAGGAUUGAAAACGCCACCCUGACUGAGCGGUGGUUUCUUUAUGUGGGCAGACAUCGUCCUCGCAGUCUGAGUCUGAACAGCUGCAGUGGCCCGUCUCUC